GAAUUUAGAGCUUAUUAUCUUUUCACGUAUGCUAUUCCCUCUUUUUGAUUUAAUAGAAUAUUCUAUUGUAGAUAGAAUUUCAUUCUCAUCUAAAUUUAGGAGUACAUGAUUUAUAAGUACUCCCUCCGUCUCAAAAUAUUUGUCGUCCUUUCUAAAAAUACCUGUCUCAAAAUAUUUAUCGUUUCAUUUAACUAAGAUAGAUUAAGUAGCUUUUUCCUAUUUUACCCUUAUAUUAAUUAGCAAUAUUUAGGAGAUUCUCAUCGUUGAUGGAGUAACAUUUAUUGAGGAGAGAUUACAUGAUAAAAUAUGUUAAGGGUAAAAAAGUCAAAAUACUACCCUUAUAAAUGCUUUCUUAAUGAGCGUGCAAAUGAAAAAUGAUAACAAAUAUUUUGAGACGGUGGGAGUAUUGUUUAAGUUGGAUUCUUCGGAGCUUUAAAUUUCGGCUUUCGGGAUCAUAGUCAUUCACGAUUGCCUCUUGCAUGACAAAACACAUAAAAAAGGAAAACGUAAGAAUCUUUCAAUCCCGUUCUAAUAUUAUUGUUAGAGUAUAUAAUAUAAAUAUUGUAUAUUAUUGGCAAAGGCGGAUUCAUGAUUGGAACUUUAUAAAUUUUAAUUCUACCACUUCUCGUCUAAUUUACUUAUUUUAAAUCGAUAUUUUGUACUUGUUUAGUGGAAACUUUAGCACAAGUAAAUGACCUAAACCAAAAUUAUUGAGUUCACAUGAAUACUUAGCUCCUUUACUAAAUCUGACCAUUAUUAUUCUUAGCUUAAUAAGCUUGUCGAAAUUAAGAAUAAUAUCGAGACAAAUGAAUGUAGUUUUCUGCAUGUCGUUCUUCAUCCCUGUUAUAAAUAGCCCUAACUAGCUUUGGAGCCCUUGGCACAUCCUUUUGGCAUGUUUUCUCCACUUUACUUCUUAACCAAUUAUCAUAAUUAUUUACUAUAUAUCUUUCUUGUGUUGUUAGAAUAUUAAAAAGUAUUACUACUAUACUACUAUGUUCUUAAAUAAAAGUAAGCCUUAUCUAGUUUUUUCUGUAAUUAAAAUGAGACAAUUUCUUACAGGAAUUUGCAUAUAUGGUAUGCAACACGAUUUUUUCAGUAGUAUCAAUGGUACGGCUGAAAUGUCUUAAUUUUACCCCUUAAGGGAA